UGAUAUCUUUAUAUGAAAGAUCAAUUAAUCAUUUUAUUUUUUUUUAUUUCUAAACCUAACUUAAACUGGAUUGAAUAUUGUGAUAAAAAUUCUAUUUUGAUAUGACAAUUAGAAUGUUUUAAUGUUAAUUUAUUGAUUCAUGGUCUUUUUUCCCCUAUUUAUUUCCUACUAUUUUUUUUUUAUGUAAAAUAGGAGAGUUUUUUUAUGCUUAUUAUUUUGCUUAAUUUUGAAAUGGUUUUGGUUGUUGUAAAAUAGGUUUGCCUGCUACUGAAGUUCAUUUGUCAUUAGUUCAGUGCCAUUUGUCUUUUACCUAUUUUCUAUGAUUUUAUAGAUUUACUGAUAUUCAAUAUGAUACAAAUUUUCUAUUAGAUUGUAUGCAGUAUUUGUCGAAACCACAAUUUCUAAAAAGUACAUUUUUUUCUCAAUGUAUGAAAAUUUGUUACAAUGCAAAUAAAUCAAAUAACAGAAUUAAUGUCUUUCUCUAAAAUAUUGUUUGAAUAUUUUUUACCUUAUUUGUUGUAUUGAGAAUUUAAAUGAAAUGCACAAUACUGCAUGAGAUUAUGUAUGAAAAAAGGUUAAUUAAGAAUUUACUUUUGAGGUUAUCAAGAUUUGAGAAUUUUUAAUAUUUACCCAAAACCAAAAAUGGAUGUCAUGGAAGUAUAAACUUAUUUGAUGUGUUUCCAUGGAGUUGUACUGUGUAUGAUCAUUUAUAAAGGUGUAUUUUUUUUUUUUGUAAAUGUUGUAAUCACAAAUGAUAGUUUAAAAUCAUGUAAAACUGUAACCAUGUCAAUAUAGGUUUGUCACAGAGAAAGCCAGUAGAAUUAUGUAUUUAAAAUCAGCAUUUAAUAUGUUAUAUUUUCAAAGCUAAUUAUCUUAAUCAGAAAUUAUAAUUAUAAAUGUACUGAAUCAUUUUGUAAUGAAUGAUUGAUAAUACUGUUUUUUGUUGAGUACUUUGGACUUUUCCAUAAAGAAAAGAUCAUGAUGUCUUUUAUGGCACCUUUUCAGAAACUCUUCAACCUGAAGAAUAUAUUCUUUUUUUAAUUACUUUAUUGUAAAUGAAUUUAAGAUAAUCAAAAAAGGCAAAACUGUAUUGAAUGGUUUGAUACAUAAGGUCCUACAGUUAAAAAAAUGAAAUCAAGGAAUUGCCUAUAUAAAAGUUAUAACUCCUGUUCCACCUUAAAAAUGUUUGUAAAUUUAGUAAUGGAACACCCCUAAUUUAUGGAUCAGUCCUAAUUGAGAAUUAGUGCACAGGGUUUUUAAAUGUGAAUUCCAUUUGUGUUCAGAUAAAUGUUAAGUGCUAUGCAUGUGUCUGUGUGCUAAUUAAUUGUUUUAUUCUGAUAUUAUGUUUCAAGUAUAUAUAUAUAUUGUAGCUUUACUUGCCAACAGCAUAAUGAUGUGCCAGUUUAUUUUUUAAGGAUUUAUUUUAAUUGUAUGUUGACGUGUAGAUCUGUUUGUGAAUUUGUUUAUUAUUUUGUUUUUUGUUUUUUUUUCCUCUCCAAAAUGUGCAUGAAAUAUUAUGAAAUAAGCACAAAGCUGAUAUACUUAUACUUUCAUAUAGAUACCAGCCGAUAAGAAGUUUUAAGAAAUAAAUUUUCACGUUUCAUGUGAUAUUUUAUUUUGACAAAAUGUUUAGAUUUUAGAACAAAAUUGAUUUCUUGAACUAAAUUAUGAUCAAUCGAUAAAAUAAGAAUAUAUUAACAUUCAAUCAAAACAUAUAAGAUUCAUUUCACAUGACUUUACAGAAAUUUCAGAUCCUUUUUUUUUCCAGUUCAAAAGUCUUUGAGAACUAAAAACUUAAAAGUUUUAUCUCAAGUCUAAUUUUAGCUCACUUGUCAGAAAUGCUUUUAGAAAAUUAAAAGAAAAAUGGUGUCACCAAACUUUUUUCUGGCUUUAAUACAAAAUACUUUUUACUGUACAUUAUAAAAUUAGAUUAAAUGACAUAUUCCUCUUCAAGGGCUCAAAUGAAAAUAAAGUAAAUCAAUUUAAAAUAUGUGGUAUUCAGAAAAUAGUUCUAAUAUUAAGAUACAAGCAUAUAAAUUUCCUCAUUAAAUGAAAAGGUAUCCCUGCAUCAAAAUUUACCUAUUUCUUUAAUCAUCUUGACCAAUUGUUUCUGCUACUUAGAAUCCAAGAUGGAAGAAGACCCACCUACUGCUUGAAUAUGAAAUUCAUGACACUAAGGACAGUAAAUAGCAUUAUGCAUGAAAAAUGUAAUAAAAAAAUUUAUUAUCACAUGUAGAAUUAAUUCCAAACACAUUUAUAUUGAAUACAUAUAUAGAUUGUUUUUGGUUUUUUUUGUUGUUUAAUUUAUUUUCCAUUUUAACAGGGCUAGAUAUGGUGGUAAAAUUAGGUUGUUUUGUGUUAGACCACAAUGUUUUUGUUUUAUUGGUAAAAAGUUUUAAAAAAUUGUCAAGCAUUAUUCAUUUUAUUUACUGUCUCAUAUAUUGGCCAGUUACAACAAUAUAUAGUUUAUAUUAUACAACUGUGUAUAUCCUCUUUGUUAAAUUUCAACUCUUAAUCAAAUUAUUGUUCAUGAAAAUAUAUAUUUGACUGAAUGUAUGUACAAGAAUCCUCCAAGAUUUUUUUAACCAGUAGCAUUUCUUUCCUUUUCUAAUUUCUGUUUUUUUUAAGCCAAAAAUUUUUAACUCAACUGUUGAUUAUUCUUUCUUUAAAAACUAAAAAAAUUUGUAAAAUGGAAAAAUUAACAAAUUGAAAAUAUAUAUCAUAGUGGUAUAUAGCUUUGCUAGUUUUUAUACGACCGCAAAAAAUUUUUUGUGGUCGUAUAUUGGUAUGACGUUGGCGUCGUCGUCGUCGUCGUCGUCGUCGUCGUCCGGCAUCGUCCGAAGACACAUUGGUUUUCGCACUCUAACUUUAGUUUAAGUCAAUGGAUCUCUAUGAAAUUUUACCAUAAGGUUCAAUACCACAAAAGGAAGGUUGGGAUUGAUUUUGGGGGUUAUGGUACCAACAGUAAAGGAAUUAGGGGCCAAAAGGGGCCAAAAAUAAGCAUUUUUGUAACUUCCAGACAUAACUUGUGUGUUAGUGUAUGGAUCUCUCUGACAUUGUACCACAAGGUUCCAUAUCACAAAAGGAAUGCUGGGAUUGAUUUUGGGGGUAAUUGCCUCAAAAUUUUAGGAAUUAGGGGCCAAAAAAGGGGCAAAAAACAAGCAUUUUUCUAGUUUCAUGAUAAUAACUUGUGUGUAAGUGUAUGGAUCUUUCUGAAAUUGUACUACAAGGUUCCAUAUCACAAAGGGAAAGCUGGAAUUGAGUUUGGGGGUAAUUGCCCUAAACGUUUAGGAAUUUGGGGCCAAAAAGGGGCCAAAAAACACAUUUUUUUUAGUUUCCAGACAAUAACUUGUGUUCAAGUGUAUGGAUCUCUCUGAAAUUGUACUGCAAGGUACCAUACCACAAAGGGAAGGCUGGGAUUGAGUUUGGGGUGAUGAAUCAUAAGGGGGUUCAAAAAAUUUGGGGGGGGAUUUUUUUUUUCCUUUUUUUUUUCUUUUAAAAUUUUCCAUUUUAAGUUGGUUAUUUCUGAUUUAUAUUUAAAAGCAAAUAAUAAUGAUAUGGUAGGAGAUACACACCAAACAGGAUGUGUAAAUUUUUAUAUAAUAAGUAUUGCGCAAUAGCAAGAAAUUUUCAAUUGCACAGUAUUGCACAAUAGCAAGAAAUCUUCAAUUGCACAGUAUUGCACAAUAGCAAGAAAUCUUCAAUUGCACAGUAUUGCGCAAUAGCAAGAAUUAUCCAAUAGCACAGUAUUGCGCAAUAGCAAGAAAUUGUCAAUUGUACAGUAUUGCGCAAUAGCAGGAAAUAUUCAAUUGCACAGUAUUGUGCAAAAGAAGAUACUUCGUAUAAAUUGCUUAUUUCUUGACCAAUUUCAAUGGGGUUUUAUUCUUGAAUUCUUGGGGUUCUUUAAUAUGCUGAAUCUAACCGUGUAUUAAGUUUUUGGAUUUUGGGCGCCGUUUUUAAAUUGGUCCACAUUGAGGUCCAAAGGGUCCAAAAUUAAACUUUGUUUGAUUUCAUCAAAAAUUAAAUUAUUGGGGUUCUUUGAUAUGCCGAAUCUAACCGUGUAUUUAGAUUCUUAAUUUUUGGUUCCGUUUUCAAAUUGGUCUACAUUAAGGUCCAAAGGGUCCAAAAUUAAACUUAGUUUGAUUUUAACAAAAAUUGAAUUCUUAGGGUUCUUUGAUAUGCUGAAUCUAAACAUGUAUUUAGAUUUUUGAUAAUGGGCCCAGUUUUCAAGUUGGUCCAAAUCGGGGUCCAAAAUUAAACUUUGUUUGAUUUCAACAAAAAUUGAAUAUAUGGGGUUCUUUGAUAUGCUGAAUCUAACCAUGUAUUUAGAUUUUUGAUUUUUGGGCCCCGUUAUCAACUUUGUCCACAUUGAGGUCAAAAGGGUCCAAUUUUAAACUUUGUUUGAUUUCAUCAAAAAUUGAAUUCUUGGGGUUCUUUGAUAUGCUGAAUCUAACCAUGUAUUUAGAUUUUUGAUUUUUGGGCCCCGUUAUCAACUUUGUCCACAUUGAGGUCAAAAGGGUCCAAUUUUAAACUUUGUUUGAUUUCAUCAAAAAUUGAAUUCUUGGGGUUCUUUGAUAUGCUGAAUCUAACCAUGUAUUUAGAUUUUGGAUAUUGGACCAUAAUAGGUGAAUGUCCAAUUUAAAAUUUUUAAGUUCUUAGACCACAUUCAUUCUGUGUCAGAAACCUAUGCUGUGUCAAAUAUUUAAUCACAAUCCAAAUGCAAAGCUGUAUCAAGCUUGAAUGUUGUGUCCAUACUUGCCCCAACUGUUCAGGGUUCGACCUCUGCGGUCGUAUCAAGCUGCGCCCUGCGGAGCAUUUUAUUGUUCAUUAACUUGACUGCCGAUCUGUGAUCAGAGAGUUAGCUAUAGGCUUGUAAGCAUUACAGGCAAGAAUUUGUUUAUUAUCCUGACCUCCGAUCUAUGAUCAGAGAUAGGUAUGCUUUACCCAUUGUAAAUGUAGUUUUCAUUUGUAAAUUUAACAAGAGAAAGCACAUGAUUGUUAUAUUAUAUACCAUUUUAUAUAGAUAAUUUUUAUAGCUUAUUAUAUCUACCGGUAUUUGAUAGCGCUACAAAGAAAAAUGAAAAAAGUUGUGUUUUUGCUAGGUGAACCAUGGAAGUAUAGGUAAAGACAACUUUCACAUUCGUGCAUUUUCCUAUACUUUUCCAAUGUCUCAAUGCUUGUGUUAAAUGUCAGAGUAAGAGUUGAUUGUUCAAUGACGUCAUUUACACCAAUUGACUAAUAGUCGACCAGCGUAACUUAUUCGUAAAACAGAACUCAACCCGAAAUCGGUCUGUUACAUUUAUUUUUACUCAUUUUUAGCUCAUCUGGCCCAAUGAAACUGCUGGGCCAAAUUUAACCAAACUUGGCCACAAUCAUCAUUAGGGUAUCUAGUUAAAAAAAUGUGUCCGAUGACCCAGCCCGCAAACCAAGAUGGCCGACAUGGCUAAAAAUAGAACAUAGGGGUAAAAUGUAGAUUUUGGCUUAUAUCUCUGAAACCAAAGUAUUUAGAGCAAAUCUGACGUGGAAAAUUUGUUCAUCAGGUCAAGAUCUAUCUGCCCUGAAAUUUUCAGACGAUUCAGACAAUCUGUUGUUGGGUUGCUGCCCCUAAAUUGGUAAUUUUAAGGAAAUUUUGCAGGUUUGGUUAUUAUCUUGAAAAUUAAUAUAGAGAUAAACUGUAAACAGCAAUAAUGUUCAGCAAAGUAAGAUCUACAAAUAAGUGAACAUGACCAAAAUUGUCAAUUGACCCCUUAAGGAGUUAUUGCCCUUUAAAGUCAAUUUUUCAGAAAUUUUUGUAAUCUUUUACAAAAAUCUUCUCUGAAACUACUGAGACAAAUUUAACCAAAUUGGCCACAAUCAUCAUUAGAUUCAAAAAUGUGUCCAAUGACCCCGCCUGCCAACGAACAUGGUUGAUAUGGCUAAAAAUAGAACAUAGGGGUAAAAUGCAGUUUUUGUCUUAUAUCUCUGAAACAAAAGCAAAAGUAUAAUGGUUGCAUUAUUUCAUGAAUCAAUUGUAAACAAAAAUAUCAGGUGAGCAACACAGGCUCCUUGGAGUCUCUUGUUGAAAGAGCUACAAUUAGUUUUGUAUAGCAACAACAAAUUUCAUACAGACCAUAACCUAAAGUAAACAUGCAAUAAUGUUUCAUAUUGCACUAGUGCAAAUAAAGCUUUAAAUAUGAUGCAAAACAAAAAAAUGUUUUGAGCUUUACUGUACAAAAGUAGGGUUAUAGCAUGAAUAUUGGUGCGAAUACUUUCCCUUGUAAAAUAUAUAUAACGCACACAAGCCCAUGCAAUUUACAAAUCUACUUCUGACAAUAUUCAUAAAUAUUCAUGCAAUAACCAUCUUUAUUAAUUUACAAAUUAGACCAUCUAGCAAGCAAUCUAAUGCAAAUUAUAUUCAUUUUUUUGUACACUCUCAAAUACUGUAAAUUCAGAAAUUAUUGUGAGGUUUUUAUUUAUGUGAAUAAUGCCACUGGGUGAGUAUCACAAUAAUAAGAACUCACAUUCUGAUAUCUGAUACAUUGAUCUCUAUGCAGAUUUUCCUGAAAUCACAAUAAUUAAAAUCGCAUAUUUCCAUUCUUCAAAAAAUUACAAUAAAAAAUGCACGCAAUAUUUCUGAAUUAACAUUAGUUAAGCUGUAAGUAAUAUUUUCUUGUAUUAUUUUAUAAAGCUGUAAAAUUGUAAGUGCUAAGGAUGUUAUUUUUAUAAUAAAUAUAUGAUUUAAAUAAAA